rnacentral:lncRNA from 1 species
UAUAAAUAGGAAGUGACAGGAAUAGUCUUAGAAAUAGGUCCUGAUGGCAGAGAGAGAAAGGAAACUGGAAGUAGGGAGCUAUGUUUGGAGAACGGUGUGAAACUAAUUUAAUUAAUAUUUCUUGAUUGUCUAUAAUCUACUCAAGGAUGUGAUAGCACUAGAAAUUUGAAAGAAAUAUUACACAGUACCUACCCUCAAGACAAACUAUGCCACUUUCUGCUGAUGUUCUGCUGUUUCAUGCCUCUGUGCAAAAAGACAAAGUCAACCUUGUGGCAACAUGUGGAUUCUUAGGAGAGUGAUGAAGAUUGAGUAGCUCCUUUUGAAG